GAAGUAAUAAUAAUUGAACUUCUAAUUCAAUAAUAAAUGAAAAUCUCAUUUUACUUCA
rnacentral:tRNA from 1 species